UUUAAUGAUGCAGAGAAGGGCUGAUGCAUUGGUUGAUUUCCCCACCUUUUAAUCUACUCUCUUUUAACAGGUAUUCUAAGCCCCCCCCCACCCCCGUGCAUCAUAUGGGCAUUCUUGGGGGCGCAGAUUACAUCAGACCUGCACCUGAAUAAAUAAUAGGGACUGAAAUAUGCAGACACUAAAGUUCUGCAGCCAAAUUCUCAGGAACCUUCCUCUUCAAUAUAGGAUCAGGAUUUUGUUUUGAAUUGUUUUAUUUUUUUAAAAAGUGCUGAGCAGAUGCUACACUGUAAGAAAUGGAAACAGAAGCAAAAACUGAAAGACUGUUACUAAAACCAAUGAACAGCUGCAGAGAGUGGAGACCCGGCAAAGCAGACAAAUGAAUACUGAAAGGGAUCCCCAAAGGAGGUGCAAGGAUCCGGGACUCUAGUGUCUGCCAGAAGCUUCAGCCACCUUCACAGGUUAGAGCUCGCCGUCCAUUGCGGAGGUGAAGACCGGAUGGGAGCUGCUGGAUUGACCUUGAUGUGCCAUGUCCUUGUGUGGAUGAAGGACCUACAUCUCAGGGGUGGCCAGCAGCAGAUGUAACACCUGUGUCCAGGAA